rnacentral:rRNA from 1 species
UACGGGGGGGGCAAGCGUUGUUCGGAAUUACUGGGCGUAAAGGGCUCGUAGGUGGCCAACUAAGUCAGACGUGAAAUCCCUCGGCUUAACCUGGGAAUGGCAUUUGGGACUGCAAGGCUGGAGUGCGGCAGAGGAGACUGGAAUUCCUGGUGUAGCAGUGAAAUGCGUAGAUAUCAGGAGGAACACCGAUGGCGAAGGCAGGUCUCUGGGCUGACACUGACGCUCAUGCACGAAAGCGUGGGGAGCAAACAGG